GCUCUCCUCCAUCUUCCCCGACUUAGCUCAGCACAGCCCCCAGUCCAUACAUGGAAGCAUCUGUAUGGACGAGAAAGCAUUUGUUAGGGACUGGGGCAGCCAAGACAGGGGCAUUCACAAGAGCCUGCUUCAGUGCCUGGAACGCAGAUUCACAAGCCGGAGACCACAGGACCUGCUUAGGCAAGUUUUUCUUGGUCAGAUCUGUCAGGGGCUUAGCGAUAGCGCUGUAGUCAGGGACAAAGCGUCUGUAGUACCCUGCCGUCCCCAAGAAGGCCAAUACCUGGGUCUUAGUAGUGGGUGUGGGCCAGUUAGCCACUGCUUCUACC